GCAUGUUCUUCUGCACAUUCGUCUGGAUGGAAAUAGAGUGAGAGGAGAGGAUCUCUACCUUCUCAUUAACAGGAGGGUUCAGGGUGUGCUGCACAAACGCGCUACGCCGAGGGCACCAUGCACCGUGCUGCUAGAGACGGAUCGAAGGUGUUUUCAUGCCCAUGAUUGGUAUAUGGCAUGAGAGUCAGAUUUAUUUCCCCUUCCAUACUAAAUGAUCCCCCAUUGUAAAACUACUCAGCAGUACUGAAUAGACAGGGAAGAUCUCCAAAAAAGAUGCCGGGCCACAGAUCUCCCAUCUGCCACAACGCUGGGACGUGGUGAUGAAUUUUCAUGGGACGGAAAAGAACAACUAUCCUAUAUACACCAGGAGGACAGCAAAGAAGGAAGGUCAGUGAGAAAUCUGUUUCAAAGCAAGAGAAGUUCAGGGCACAUUCACACUUGCCGGAGAGUGACCACAAAGGAGGUGCCAGGAGGCCAGCGGGAGCUAAAGCCCCGCGGAUGGAGAAGGGUUGUGUCUAAUCCCCGGCAGCCGCAAGAGCUCAGCACGAGUGAUAAAAAAGAGAUCUAGCGGUAAUCCAGCCUCUCAACAAAGAGACUUACCAUCCUGAGGGGUGAGAUCCACUCAGCCGUGCAGGGUCAUCAGCGGAUCUAAUCCCGCCAAGCCUGUGGACAGAUCGAGUCUGGAAGCCUGUCUUGCUCCAGGGUCGUUUCCCGGCGUUGCUGUGUCAUGGAGCGACACCUAGUGGGAGAAAGAAGGGGAGCAGGAACCUGACAACAUUUGUGCUUUGGGUGACUCUUUGGAUGAAGGUUACAGAAAAUGCACCUUGGGGUGGGGCACGAGGUCCCGUUUACAAGAGUUUCCUUCCUUGCUGGUAACAAAUGGAGCCUUUUCUCCUUUUAAAAUAUUUACGAUCUGAAUAAGGUGGAGAGGUGUGAUGUCGGUAAACCCUGCUCUGUCCAAAACACCACCCCCACAGAAAUGACACUCCUCUGAGGCCCAGGAGAAGCCCGGAAUCCGGCCAUGCAAAGACUGGAAUGCCUAAGGAAGGUAAAGCAAGUAGCCCCGCGGCUGGUAAGGGGGG